AGAGCUACGGUGACACUUCGCGUGCGGUGUAGGCGCAUCUUCGCUCUGUUGGCCGUGGCUUUAGUAAGCACACACCUGCCUGCUACUCUGGUUAUCGUGGCGACGGCAGGUCUGGAUUGCCAGACAGGUUUUUCUUUUUACCUCGAGGCUUUCUCUGAAGGGAGUCGGAGCAUUUAAAAGGCGGCCUCAAGGUGGAUUGAGUCGGGGGAGGAUUAGCAGUAUUUGCUUAGGUUGUAAAACCGCGACUUUAUCUAAUAAAUCGCCAUUCAAGGUGCAAAUACAAACUUGGAACAGAGAUUGCAUUUGGGUUUAAACAGAGGACUUAAUCAUAGCAUGGACAGAAAAGGCUCACCAUCUAUCUAAAUGACUCUGAUUGCACCAUCAUCCUCAUUGUUCUUGUGGAGUCUCGCUCUGUCGCCCAGGCUGGGGUGGAGUGACGCGAUCU
rnacentral:lncRNA from 1 species